CCUACGGGAGGCAGCAGUGGGGAAUAUUGCGCAAUGGGCGAAAGCCUGACGCAGCGACGCCGCGUGAGGGAUGAAGGUCUUCGGAUCGUAAACCUCUGUCAGCAGGGAAGUACGGUCACUGUGCUAAUCAGCAGUGAAUUUACGGUAUCUGCAAAGGAAGCACCGGCUAACUCCGUGCCAGCAGCCGCGGUAAUACGGAGGGUGCGAGCGUUAAUCGGAGUUACUGGGCGUAAAGCGAUCGUAGGCGGUAUGUCAAGUCAAGGGUGAAAUCCCCGCGCUCAACGUGGGAACUGCCUUUGAAACUGGCAGACUGGAGUGUGUGAGAGGAUAGUGGAAUUCGAGGUGUAGGAGUGAAAUCCGUAGAUAUCUGGAAGAACAUCAGUGGCGAAGGCGACUAUCUGGCACAUAACUGACGCUGAGGAGCGAAAGCGUGGGUAGCAAACAGGAUUAGAUACCCUAGUAGUC
rnacentral:rRNA from 1 species